rnacentral:rRNA from 1 species
UACGGAAGGGGCAAGCGUUGUUCGGAAUCAUUGGGCGUAAAGGGCGCGUAGGUGGUUCUGUAUGUCUACCGUGAAAGCAUACAGCUCAACUGUAUUUUGUCGGUAGAAACUGCAGGACUUGAGGCUGGGAGGGGCUGGUGGAAUUCCGGGUGUAGCGGUGGAAUGCGUAGAGAUCCGGAAGAACACCGGUGGCGAAGGCGGCCUGCUGGGCAGUUUAGCUGACACUGAGGCGCGACAGCGUGGGGAGCAAACAGG